GGGAUCUUAACUUUUAAGAAAUACUCUGCCUGUGUUGUUUUUUCACUCCAGAGCCUUUAUGCUGCUUUGCACCAAUUUGGAUUUGAGAGUCUUAUGUGGCACAGGGCUGUGUAUGGUACACAACUGCUGGAAUUGUUUCUUUUUUUAACUAGGAGAUUGGCAGCCACUUGGAUGAGUCACAAUCAGGAGCCUAAUUUUAGCUGGUAUGUAUGUAUUGGGAGAAUCUACCACAGAAAGUUGCAUCUCAAACGUUCAGAGAGGUGAAGUGAAUUUCUUUUUUGGGCUUCAUAGAGACUGGCUUUUGUGUCUGAUUUCUGUUUCUUUUCUUGUGGUUUUGUACAGUCUGGCUAGAAACACAGCAUUUAUGACCUUUCUGUCAGAAUUAACCUAACUCCUUCACCUUCAAAGAGUUUAUAAGAAGGAGACAAUCUAGAGCGACAACAUCGAUACUUUGAUUGAUGUUUGUUUGCUAUGUGUUUGACGUGUUUGCCUCUGUUUUGAGCAUAAUGAAGUCCAGAGUUUCAGCUGUCCGUAGAGUCCCAGUUCAUUUGUUAAUUUAUCUGUGUUGCAGCCUCUGCUUCUUUUCUCUUGCUUGCAUGAGAAUUAGCAUGAGGUGUUAGGAUGGAGUUGAAGAGGAGCUUAGGGUAUGCAGUCAGAGCCUUCUAAUCAUUCUGGCUACAAAAUUUUGUUGCCAGCACUCAUGCAACAUUUUUUAAAGCUAGUAAAGAUAUUCUGCUGAAUACUACGUUUUGCUGUGUUGGUUGACAUGCAUCAAAGUAAUGUAACUGCUGGCAGAAUCUGGCUUCUACUUCUGGCAUCCUCCUAGAAAGCAAAUAUAGAAGAGUGGCGCCUGGUUUUGAACGCUGUGUAUAUGAGAAAGAAAAGCCAAGAGCUUUUUAAGGCAUCUUGCUGUUCCCUAAUGCAUUGUUUCAGUUUCCUGUGAAGCCAAAGUGUCAGACUGGAUUGUUCAAGGAGAUGAAGGGCAAGUUGUCAUUUAGUACCCAUGUUCGGAAAGUGGCUGUUCGUGUACCCAAGUCCUUCCUCUGCAUUGUGCCAUGAUGCUCCUGCUCAGCCUCUCUAUGCACCCAGGUAGUAAACUACCAUAUGUUGUUUAUAGAGGAUUCAAAGGCAGUGUAUCAUUUUCCACUUAAUCAGGAUGUUCCUAAUCGAGGAAAUUGCCCAGAGAACUAAUUAAAGCCAAAUGUACUGAAUAACGACUGUUUAAGAGACAUUUUAAUUCGACUGAGCAGGAACAUCAUUUGGUGAUUUACAGGUACCUGGGCCACGUCCCAUUUUCAAGCUGAGCGUGUCCUGGUUUCUCCCAGGAGAGCUCUUACUUUUGUUGGAUUUACAGUGCAGGGAAUGUCUAUACAAGUGACUUUGUCACUAUUUGACCUGUAUCAAAGCUGUACCUUUCUUAGAUCAGAUGGGCAGUCUUUGCCAUGUCUGGGCAGCGUGUUCUGCUUUCUGUGUGCAGAGCUGCUUUUUCCAUCCCUUGAGGAGUCUCAGGCUGCGUACUGGUACUGGUGACAGUGCUGCUUAAGGUUAGCAUAAACAUCUCCAGGUCCUGGACACAUGUUCUUGAUUUGUGCUGUUUCUUGUGCUGUCCUGGCAAGCUAUUUGUUCAGCUGUGUAGCAGUUAAGUCAGGAUACUGAUCUGGAUGAAAAAUAACCCAGAGAAAGGAGAAGAAAUAGGAAAAAGAAGAGAGUUGCCUCAUCCAAAUGGGUUUUCUAGCUUGGUUCGCUGUGUGGCUAUACAAACAGCUGUACAAGCACAAAGAAGGGAGUGGUGGGAAUAAGUGGGUGAGGUAAGGGAGAAAGGAGGCUGUUUAAGCUAGCUCUGCUGCCAAAGUGUUACUUGCCAAAUAUCUUAGCUUCUCUACUUUCUUGAACAAUUCCUCACAUCUGCUGUCACACUACACUCAUAUGGAUGUUACUACUUCUGCAUAAUAGCAUGACAUCUGUACUGGUGCAGACACUGACUUCCUCUCAACCAAAUAUCCUGUCUCCAGUGGUGGCCAUAAUGAGCAGACCCAUGGAAUAAGGAUGAGACAAGCAUGUAUGAUACUUCCAUGGCUGUUCUGUCAAACUGUUUUUAGCUCAGGGGACUUCUUGAACCUGGUGUUGUUUGUUUAUGCAGUAACUCUCAAUGAGUGUCUUAAGUACUUCAAAUUCAGUACUCCCCUGAAGACCAUACAAGAUGACCAUGCAAGUACUCACAACAUCUUCUGUCAGGGAAUUCUAUGGUUUUUCAGCUUGGAAUAAUCAAGAAGUCCAUGGACAGAAUGGUCCUACACUACCAACCUGAUGCAGACAUGGGAGCAUGAUGGCAUAGAGCAAGCAUCCACUCCAUAUACUGUCACACCUUACCUCUAAACCAAUCUCCACCUGCUUCUACUGUUGGAAACAGUUCCUGGCUCCCUCUAGCUCUCAGGAUCUGUCAAGGAGUUGUUUGCAUCAUUGGUGCAAGCCAAAUAAAUGUGGGGCUUCCCUACAGCUGGCAGCACAGUACAGCAAGCUACAGUAGUUGGGGCUGUUUCCUGGCACUCUUAAAUUAAUGGAAGGAGAUACAGUCAUGAUGCCUUUAGUUAAUCCUGAAGGUACUGAGAUCAUUAGGAUGUUCCUAGGUCAGUAUUUUCAACCUCUGAGGAUUUCAGGAAAAUGAUAAUUUCCUAUAUGAGAUUGUAGUCAUUAUUUAGUAUUCUUAAACUGAUAAUUCCAUUGAGUCAGUUUUAAUGCCUAGUCCAGUCAUCUGUUGACUAUUGUUAUUAUCUUUAUGAAUACAUACUUUCACAUAAUGUUGACUAGCUUGUGCAACAGAUAAAAUUAUUGAGGGAAAGACUUCCUUAAGGAAUUGGAAGUAUGACAUUGGUAACACCUGCUAUCUACUGCUCAGUGAAGGGGAAAUGUUUGGAUUGUCUCAGUCUAGUGCAUGAACAAAAGAUGUCAAAGUACUAUUUCCAGAAGCCAGUGAAGGGUAAUGAAUUUGGAGAAAUCUCAGCUGAAAAGCCCAAGAAGGAACAGUUGAGACACGUUUUAUAUGUUCUUCUCAAAGGUAGGCAGGUUGAGUUCGUAUCUGAAAGCACACCAGGAAAUGGAUAAGCUUGCAACCUAUAUCAGUUCUGUGGGCACAUGAAAGUAUGUUACAUCCCAGUCCUCAUCUAAUUCUACUGUGAUUUGUGUGAGAUUAUAAACUAUUACUUUCUUUGUACAUCUGUGACCAAGUCAGUGGGUUGUGGAGCUGUUCAAGAGAAGUGAAUCCACCGAGAUUUGCUGUGUUGACAAACUAGGGCAAAAUUUAAAUGUUUGUUUAAUGGUAUGUUUGAUGUAGAUUAUAAUUGUUGCUACAAUGUGCAUAGCUGUUUGCUGUGAUGAGAGGGAAAACUCUUUUCACCUCAUGUUCACCGUGUUUCUCGUGGUAAUCUCUGCAUAGGCUGCUGAGGCAGCCCUGCCCAGUGUGGCUGCCUGAUCCUCCAGAAGUGCUCUGACAAUGAGGACACGUGUGUAGUCCCAUGGCAGAGAAUAAAAUUGUCUGGUAUUUAUGUGCAUGUUAAAAGCUUUUUAUGAAUAGGUUGUACAUUCCUUUCUCCCGCCCCCUUGGGAUGCAAUAACCCCUGUGUAAGAUAUGCACAAUUUAUGUAAAUGAUUGUGAUUGCCACAACUAAUCAAGGCAAGGACGAAAGCAAUCACAAGCUCUCAUCUAGCAGUCAGCUUCCUGACUCCACGUCAGCCUCCAUAUUAGAUGCUACUUCAUUAAAAUAUAUAUGACCCAAUUCAAGAGCUAAUUUGGGUGAAACCAUUAGGCUUCUGUCCUCAUCACCAGUGAAAGUUUGCAGUUCAUUUUCACACACGAGUGAGCAGUUGCAGCUUUAAGAUGCGUGAAGGUUAUUGCUAUGUGUGUGUGUUGGAGGGAGAGAGAGAGGGAAGGUUGCAGGCAGUGGUCUGUUAGAACGUGCUCGUAUUUCUAGAAUAGCACUGCUUUAUAAGUCUUACUUGUGCUCCACCUGUGGACUGCUAUGCAGGAUAUGGAAAUGUAUGGAUCAGUUAAACACAUCAAGGGGAAAUUGAGCCUCUGAGAAUGGAGAGUGCAGGAUGCUCAUGUUGCCUCCUGACUCAGCGGUGGUCUCAGUGGAGUCUCUGGUGGAGGGUGUCCGGUCAGAUCUCCAAAGUUGUUUGGAGCAAGCCCAGAGAAUCUCUACAAAGUCUAACAAGGUUGUUUUUUUAUUUUAUUUUAUUUUAUUCUAUUCUGUUUUAUUUUGUCUUUUUCAUAUUGGUUAAUCGUUCUAAAUGCCUCAAAUUCAUAAGAAGCUCUUAAUAUACAGAGUUUGCAAAAAUAAUCAGAAGAUCACAGAUUCAGGAUCUCAAGAUGUUUUCUAAUCCCGUAAAUCCAAGUAAUUUUCCAACAUUGGGAAGGAUGCCACAACUGAGUUGCAUCAAUAAUAUCUACUGGCUUGCGUGGCUGGCAGGGGUUUCUUCCCCGGAGCCGCUAUGUGGGGUAUCAAGUUGCUCUCUGUGCUGAUGGAUGAGUCACUGGAAUCUCUGUUUUGUUUGUGCAUUUUAUCAGAGAUCAUCAGGCAGCCAUCACUGUGAUUGACUAACCCAGCACGAAGUGUCAGGCGAAAGGAACUGAAGUGAAGUAACACAACUGACAGCUAAAGAAUAAGCAACAAUCUGUCUUUUCAAAUGAGUUGUUCUGUUGGCAAUUUGACAAACGAAUGUAAUAGGGGAGCUCUCUGUAUAAAUGGACAAGAAGGAGAAGUGGUGAGAUUGGAAGCAAUUUGUUUGCCUGUUGAAGAUCUCCUGCAAAGUUCCACUCAGCAGAUUUAUUUGGGUGUUAUACCAACUGAUUGAUAAAAUUUAUCUGCCCUACGUUGAGUAAGUGUACCCAGAUGAGGAGCUAUUUGCAAGCAAUCAAGUGGCCACAUUGUAAAAACUUGCUGUGAAGGUGAACUGUCCUUGUUUUAUUUUGUAUUGCAAAGGACGAGCAGUGCACAUUGUCAGUUACCAUGCUUGACUGAGAGUGCUAAGUCAAUCACAUGUGUUCUUCAAAAAUGACCACUGUCCAUUAAAUUGCUAAUACUGUAUCUUGGGUUGAGAUUGUUCAGAUGAUUGCAGCCGCUUACAGUAUCUAGGUGCUUUACAUUUCCUUCCAUGCUUGUUAGUCUGGUACAGUGCGAAGAAAGCACUGUUUGUGUUGGCAGCUACAGAUUGUAGAUUAAGCAUCACUUCCACAGCAGCACAUCUCGUUUGUCUUCAUCAGUGCUACUGCUUGUGCAGCGGUGUAGAUUUGUCCAGGAGUCUGUGUGAGAUUGACAAGACAGCAGGAACGGAUUUUCAUAAUUAUCACUUCUUUUAGGAAACCUUACAAACAGCAAAGGUAUAUUUUGUUUGCACAUGACAUUCCUCCAGCUUUAAUCUCCUCCCUCUUGUUUACGACUGCAUAGUUAUUGGGAUGAAGCACAGAUUGCAGUUAUCAUCAUCACCUUGAGGCUUGGGGCCAACACCGGAGGCAGGGGAAAGCUGCUUGCUCAUUGUGUUGCCAGAGGCAAAGCAGUGCCACCUCAGUGUCACGUUGGCUAGGCUGGCAGUAUUCUCCUCUGUGUUUUAGAUUGAAUUAAGCCCCAUUGGCACCGAGACUUGUGACUCUUUUCUAGUGCAGCUGGCGUGACUGAGUUUCUUCAUCAAAGAGGGUUGAUACUGGAGUUCCAAUGGGGCUAGGUUGCUACAGCCUCAUGCAAAGAGGAAGGAGGAGAGGCUGUUUAAAUAGAAGAUUACUUCUAUUUAAAGUAGAAGCUGUGGUGGAGAAUAUAACCACUGCUUGCCCUGCAGAUAUUUAGCUGUUCUUUAAUAGCUGAAUCUGCAAUGACAUCUCGGUGCCUGGGGCAAGUAACGCCGUAAGAACUUCUUCUUUCUGAUGCAAGCUCUGUGUCUGAAGCUUUAAAAGGCUGCGGUACCUGCAGAAGGUAGCAUGUGUAUAAGGGAACCAACAGAGCUGUGCUAAGCCAUGCAGAUCCCUGGCCUGGCUCCCCUGGCUCUGCUGCAGGGGAGGUGGUUUUGGAGGGGAAGGGAAGGAAGGGACUCAAACUCUUCCCCCUCCCCUGCCCUCUGGUGAGUCCAUUCCUUUGCAGGAUUAUCCACUGUUGAGAACCUGAUGGUUUCUUGGAGGACAUGUACAAGCUGCCAUUGUUCCAGAAAGCACUUGAUGUGACAGUGCUGUUGAUGUGAGCAGUGCAGAGCUGUGGGUGGAAUUGCUUAGCUAGAGUUCAGGAAAUUAAAUAGGCAACCUCAUUUCUUCUCCACACAGAAUCACGGAAUGGCUGAGGUUGGAAGGGAUCUCUGGAGGUCAUCUGGACCAACUUCCCCUUUUAAAGCAAUUUGGGUAUUGUCUUCUUUCUUUCAAUUUUCAGAAGGAUGAACACUAAUCUAGAGGUGAUGAUGAUAACAGUUGUGUUUACUUUCAUUAUGUAGCGAGUAAUGUAUUAUCCUUUUAUUCUGCUAUUUAUGGUUAAGAAUAAAACUGCUAACACUUCGGAGAAUGCAGAAAAGACAUUUCAAACAGACAUGUUGAAACAAAAAUAAUUAGAUGAAAAAAAAAUUACAUUCCCUAUCAGUGACUGUGUUUCUUUCAGGCUGUUUUCUGAGGCAGAUACUAAAACUAUGUUAUCUAAAUUCAUACAAUUAUGUUUAAAAUAUUUUAUUACUUCGUUGGCUACUCUCUGUAUUACUAUAUUGUCUAGGCUUUUGAAACACAGAGAUCAGCUACUUAAAGAAUCCCAUCGUGGUCUUAGAUUGCAAAUUAGCUCCUUGAAAUAUCAGCUGUACAUAUUUUGCAUUUAAUAAAUUAAUUUAUUAAGGAAGCAAGAAAUUGAUUAUUCAAUUACAGGCACCAGACACUCUAGUGUGUUAGAUGAAGCAUGAAGCUGAUCAAUAAAAAUAUAUUUCAUCAGCAUCUCCUAGGAGUGAACUAGCUGGUUAGAAAGGAACAAAAGCACACCCUUGCAAACCACUCUCUGUGUUUUCACAUGAUGAGAUUGAAACACAAAUGUCCUGUGCAAUAAAUUUGUGUAUACUCAGGGAAUUUGUAUUAUGUAUGAAAUGCAAUUUGCAUUUCACUCUGGAAAAAAAGUUAAUACAUGUUUGCUUGUGUGGGUUGAAUAAGAUAUAUGAAUCCCAUGAGUAAGAAACACGUUCUGAAAUCUACAUACAGAAAAAUCUGUUGGGUCUUAAUAUUAAAUCUGUGCUGAAUGCUGGAAACCAUCCAGAAUCAAAACUGUCGUGGCUUGUUUGUAUCUCCCUGCUUCCUUCUUCUUCAAGAUCCUUUAUAUCCUUGCUUCAGUCAGGUUAUCCCAGAUAGUUUAUAAUCAGUGCUGCUAAACUCAUCUCAUAGUGGGCAUCUUAGAGGCGAGGCAAAACAAAACAAGUGUUUUCACAGGGAAUUUAUGUGCAGAGUGAUUCCUUUUUAGCUUACUUUUUUUUUUUUUUCCUUUACUUUUUCAUCUCUCAAAAGUGCUCCUGUUGCAGUUGAUGGUCAGGAUGAUGACUUACUGUGUAUUGUGGAAGAAUAGCAGCAUAAGUCUGUUCUGGGAUGUGGGUAAUAGAACAUAGUGACCCUUUCACCUUAACAUUAACUUAAUGUUUCUCUCUCUGGAUCCUAAAUAUGCAAGCAUCAGGCUACUGCAUGCUGUUGUACCAACUGCAAAAUAAUGGUUGUGCUGGGAAGGAGUGUAAUUAUUGCACUUUUGUUUCUAUGCUUAUCUAAUAAUCUCAAAUUUGGAUUUUGCAGGGUAAUUAGUUCUGUAGUCUUCCAGAAAAGUCUGAGACCUUUAAUCUUUGGCAAAUAUUGACAGUUAUUUGCACACUAAACUGAGAAUAAGAAGAUGACAGUGCUUUGGUUUUAGUAGCUUCAGUGGAGUUCCUUUCCAUUUACACCUGAAUAAUGAAGACAAGAGUCAGGCCAUUGUUUUUGGAGCCCUAUUGUUCUUUUUUCUUUAGUACAAUCCCUCUAACGAUAUUCAGCUGCCUGAAAAAUUUCAAGAGAUCCAAAGUAAGCAUUGCUGGGUGGUUUGGGAGUCUUUCCUGCCUUUGAACAGUUUAGUUUCAAAAAUGAAAUUGUGCAAGCUAAUUUUAAUGCAUUUUGCAAAACUCUGCUUGUGAUGUAUGGUUUGUGUUACCAGUACACUCAUUUCAGCCCCAGGUCUCGCAGCCAGCCCUGGGAGAUGUAGCAGUAGAAGAAUCUUUAUCCCUCUGCCUAUAAACCUGUAAAAACUGCUACCACAAAUCUACACAGAUGAAGGAAGCAAAACAAAUUAAACUCAAGGUAGAUUUAUGGCCAUCAUCAGCCAAGCAGUUCAGCAUGCAUUCAACUACAGGCAUGGGUUUAAUCCCUUUUUAGUCACUUAAGCUGUGACUAAGUCCCCUGCAUAACUAUGAGGAGAGGGCGUGGGCCUACCUGCGCGGCUGCCUUGGAGCCUGUUCCCCCAGAAGUGCAAUAGCCUCCUUGCGUCACUUGUGUGACAUUUGUGCCACAGCAGCUGCACACUGAUGGUGAAUCAUCCAGAUCACCACAGCAACAGAUUUCUUCUUGAUACUUUUGUCUCUUGGGAGACAGAAUCUCUCUUGUGCCAGUGUUAAGUUUUUUAAAUGUCGAUGUGAAUGAGCAGGGAUCUUGUGCUUGUUGAUGAUCAGUGUGCAAUCUUGCUUUGCACUGCAUGGGAGGUCUCAGCUUGGACUUUGAGUUCUGUAGUUGCCUCCUGGAUCUGCCCUGGUGCUCUCCUGCACCCUUUUUAGGGCUGUGGCAGAUAAAUGUGAGAGGAGAUGUGCACCAAGUCCCACUCUACUUACUAGCACCCAUCCGCAAUCCAGAAAGGAGCAGAUCUCAUUAAACCCACAAAUGUUUGUGUAUCAGGAACAGCUACAUCUAACUGCCUCAGGUAGGGCCAGCCAUGAAAUUAAAGGAUAUGAUAUACCAGAUUCUUAAUUGGUGAGAUUCAGCACCUGAAUUAAUUACAAUGAUGUAAAUCAGCCAAGGGGAGGACCCAUCAUCUUGUUGGUUUUCCAUUCAAAGAGUUUGCUCACUGAAGCAGACAUCAGAAGUACCAUUUUUACACAACGUAAUUAAUUUGAGAGAAUGCAAGUGUUCAGAAUGAACCAUUCUUUACUGAUUUGUUCCAGAGGCAGGCUAGUAUCUCUUCCAGUCUUCUGCAGGGCAAGGAACUUUCCGGAAUGAAUUUUGUGUUGUCCUAUUCUCCUCAUUAGCAUGGUUGCAGAUGUUUCUGUGAAACCUAUAAAGAUGCUUUCUGAAUCUUUGCAUAGUGAUUUCCAGUCAGACUGAGAUUCCUUAUGGAAUAUAGCUCGUCAAACACCUGUCAGUCAUUUAGUGUUCUCAGCUUUGUUGAAUUCUCAAAAAAGGCAUAGGCGUCUGUUUUCAACUUGAUUCUUUAAAACAAUUUAACCAUGAUAAGUCAUUUUUUUUAAUGAGGUAUUUUUUGGCUUGUGUAUGCUUUUCUUGAUAUGGAUGAAGGUGCUUGAAGCUGAACCCAGAGCAAGGGUCAGCAGGGGGGUUACUCUGAGAUGACCAUCAUGGGAGUCCUUUCUCUUCCCUGCUAUUUAUUUAGAUAAUGGCAGAGAAGAGACUCAGGGCUGCUUGUGGGCAGGAGGGCCUUGCAAGCACAGCAAGGUCAGAUGUCCAUAUGGAAUGGUUGGCCAGUAUUCUUGCAAUUGUUAUGAUGAUUAUUAUGGUCUGAGGUUUUUCCUAUUUCUGAAAAACAGCAGGAGGGAGAUAAACCCAAUAUUAUAAACUGCACUAAGAAGAUAUUGCUAUGACUGCACCUCAGUUGCUGGCUCAUACAGCUAUAUGUGGCAUUUUUACCUCCAAAAUAUUUGUUUUGAUGAAGGUAGAAACAUUUCUAAAUUUAUAAAAAUACUGAAUUUGUUGUUGAACUGGGGCAGAGAGAAGAUGAAUAUCUGACUGGCUCGUCUUUGACUUUGCUUAAUGACACUCUUUGUCCUGGCAGUUAUCUUGUGCAUCUGACUGGGCUCAUUUCCCAAAAUUUAUAUCUAUCUAUAAUCAGAAAUUAAUGUGGUAGAGUAAUUCCAUUUCUGAUUCUGUGCUUUUUCUCUCUUAAUUAAAUUACUUUAGACAGUUUGGGCACAAUAGAGGCAGUAUUGUGCAGAAGUUGUAACUUUCUGUCCAUCGUGAAGAAAUAAGUGCUAUCUCAUGGCUUUCUCCAUCAAGAAUAAGCGUCCUUCCCAGAUGAGUAUCAUUCAGUUUAAUGGUUUAUGUUUAUAUCCAUUUAGAACAUACUGAUAUGUUAAACUUAGAGUACGUGCCAGAAAAAUACCAGCUGAAGCUGAGAAGCCUUUCCAAAUGUUCUACCCAACUAACACAGUUUUUAAUGCAGUUCAUGAGGGUUUACUGACUUUCUGGUCUCAUCUGGCUUUGGCCUGUCAGUACAUCAGCAACAUAAGUGUUAGGCACAUGUCAACCCUGCAUUUUAGUUCCAAGAAAGAGAUUUUUUUCCAACUUGCAAAUUCUUACUAUAUGCUUACUGAUGAUAUUUGGAAUUUAUAACUCCUGAGAACGCUCUUCUGUUUUGAUGGAUGUGAAAUCAAAGGAGGGAAAAAUCUGUAUGGUACGGAGCUGUUAAAACAAAAAUGCAGAGGAGAAUUAAAGAACAUAUUAGGGGACAUUUUUCUCAGGUAAUAUGGUCUGUAGCCUUUUACUCUGCAAAGCAGAUGAUGUGUUAACCAUUCAGCUCAAGAGAAACACUUCAUUUCAGGUUUUGAUCGUUUGAACCUAUCAAGAUCCUUAUGACUGCUAGAUCUUGAAGAAAUACAUGGCUUUUUUGUCUUGAAUUUGCCAUUACGUUUGUCAUUCAGCAGUAUUUAUCUCCUGCAUAAACUCUCAGGGCUUUGACUCCUCUUCUGAUGAACACAUUAUAGUCAUUUUUAGAAACAGAGUUGUCCUUUCCAGUCACAAUAUAAGGGAUGCUGAAUAGUUCACAUUUAAUUCCUGAAAUGUACAUGUCUAGGUAUACUCCUAGAGAUGAAGCAAAUGUAAUGUAACAUUAUGAUUUUCUUUUCAGUCUGCAUGAUUAAUUUUUGCUCAUGAUAUGGAUACAGCCUAAGAUUUAUCAGUUUCAAUUUAUCAAGUCAAUAAUGGCCUUCUCUCCAGAUGUAAUAUAUUAAGCUCAACAGACAGCAACCUUUUAACAUUUCUGUCUUCUAAAUUGCUAUUUAUGUGGAGAAGAUGAGUCAGUGGAAUCAGCUGGAUUCACAUUUUCCUGGCUCUUCAGAAUAGAAGACACUGGAGUAAAAUAAACUCCUGAGUGCCUUCUGGGUCUAACCAGCUGAGGUGGGUUAUUCUCUGUCUACUCUAAUAUAUCAUAAGAUUCCUUGCUGUCCAGAAGCUAAUAAAUUGUACUGUGUGCUAUCAGGGGAGUAUAAAAUGUGACCUCAAGAAUUUGAUAUCCUUUUAUAUUGAGGGCUAGCUAAGGCAUGGGUUCUUUAUUUAUUGUGAGGAUUCAGAAGUAGUUUCAUAUGUAAUGGCAGUUAUUGAUUUACUAGUUUUUUUAUUAUUUAUUGGAGUGUUGGAAAGAGGAGUGCUUUUGCUCAUGCGUGAAGUAAGAGCAAACAGAAUUUUCUAAUCCAGGAUACAUCUGAAGGUACAUCACUGUAAUGGAAUUGGUAGUCUUUGGGCUAUGGCCACUGUCUACCUUCUGUUUUCCCUGAGAGGAAGCAGAGAUGAGCUCUUCCUGCACAUGGAAAGACAGUCAGAUGUAUCACUCCCACACCAGCCAUGCCUGUGAGAAGAGCCCCAAAACUAGGAUGUGUAAUCACUCCCACAACUGAGAUUUUGUCUCUCCCUCUUAAAUAACUAAGUGACCUGAUUUAUAUCAACAUGAAGCACCUGCAACCUAUGAUAACAUUCAUAAGCUUCAUGGUGCGCAUCAUUUGGAAGCAAGAUACUUAAAUAAGUGUUUAGUUUUCCAGCUUUAGGUUGAAGCAUUCAGAAUUUUAGUCUUUAUUCUAAUGACCGUAGACACCAGUGCAGUUUUCUGGAAUUGUCUUAUGGAUGCAAAAUCCCUUCAGCUGCUCCUCCUUCUUCUCUCCAUCUCUACAAGAUCCUGAGCAGCUACGGCUGCUGUUCUUGCACUCUAAGUUACCAUAGUGAACACUGAAGAAUGAAGACUUCUGACUCCCCCCCCAAGCCCUGGUUUUCGUUAUCCAGAGCUGCCUUAACAAGCAGGGGUAAGCAUCAGUGCCUAGGUGCAGCUGGCAGUAUUCAUCGCUGCCUUCCAGCCUUGCAGUAGCUCCAUGCUGUUCUGCAUCUGCCCUCAUUUACAGGCAGUGCCCUUUAUGUUUGAGUAAUGGUAAUUCUUCAGCUUCAGAAUAUGGUGAUUUCUUGAUUUUAUGCUUUUGCUCCUUAGCAUGCGUGUGGCUUGCAUUAGUAAUGGUACUUUUGGUACUGUGGGCAGUUCUGUUCGCAAGGCCGGUUCUUCCCAUAGACAGCCUCGAUGGUUUGGACCUCUAAGGAGUGAAACUUAAAAACAUGAGUUUUUCAUACGUAAUCUUCCUAUGUUUGUUGUAAAAAAAAAAAAAAAAAAAAUUACAACAAAAUUUGGUCAUUUGGUCCAUCCAUGGGAGGCACUUAUAAUUUAUUAGGCAGCCUGCUGUGCUCUUAGAAAGAAAACUUCAGUUAUGUCUAUGAAGGAUUUUAUAUAUAUUGAAUUAAUAAGUGGCUUGUGUAGUGCAUAAACUGUUUCAUCUUGCGAUCCUUUGCCUAUGUAAAAAAUUGCAGUAUGUUAACAAGAUUGGGAUAUUGUUGCUAGCACACACUGGAGGAAAGCCAAGAUCUGUGCUUAUUUGGCUUCAGUUCUGAUAAGUCAUUCUUGAUUAUUUCAGUUAAAUUAUUUGGUUUAUGUGAUUCCAUAAUGCCUUGAUAGUACAGCUCUUGUGCUGCACACCUGCAUUGUCAGCUUCAUGUAAUAGUUACUGCUUAAGAAGAACAUAAUAAAAAUAAUAGAAUAAAAAAUAGUAAGAUAUAAACUUCUCCAUUUUCUCUGCUGGUUACACCAAGCGUUUUACAGUGUGUUUGCUCUCUAAUAUAUUCCUGUCUUAUGCAUUUGAAAUGCCACCACUUUCAAAUAAACAUGUUAACAUUUUGGAUGAAUAGAUGACCAAUUAAUACCCAAAUAGCUCUCUGGGAUAUAUCAUAAUACUUGAUCUCAUAAUGAGAGGACUGGUUUUACUUGAGGAAAGGGUGCAGCCACACCAUUUCAGGUCUGUGGUUUACCACACUUGAGAUCUGGUGCCAUCCAAACACAGUAGCAUGUGGCCCAGGAUGGAGCAACAGUGCAGAUACCGAUUUCAGAGCAUGAGCUAUUGUGAUCUCUUUUCUUUUUCUUCAGUAACAUUGAGGUCUCUCAGUGCUGCUUGCUCUUUGAAAAUAACCCGUUUCUUCUUCAAGGAACAGAAUUGUGCAGUUGCCAUAAUGCUCCUGCUGUGUUUGCUAACAAGACAUUGGUGUAUCUGCGAUUAUGGGUUGCUGCUGGAAAUGCUUCUCUGUCUUAAGCAGAGAAGAAAGAAAUUAUUCCUUUUGGUGGAGAUACUGCAUAGCAGGUCAGAACAGAUUGCUAUUUUUUAAGGAGGGAAUUUUCUAGUGAGACAUAUGGGUACCGAUAUAUUUUUUUCUGUCUCUCCCUACUAGUUAUCUAGUAGGGAACUGGACAGCUGGAGGGCUAGGCUGUUGCUUUCUAAGCUUAAGAUACUUUUGUUGUUGUUAGAAUCUAAAUAUAAAGCUGCAGUUUGUAGGAUGAUGAGUUUACUGCAAGCGAAGGGAGCACGGUGUAUGCAGUAAUCACUUGGUGUACACUGUAGCUUGUUGAAGUCAUUAGAAAAAUGAUGACAUCAGCCCUUUUAUUACAGCAGUUGGAUUAGUUAGGGCUUCGGCAAUGUUUUCUCAGAGCCAGAAGAUAAAGCAGCUGUGAGGGAUGCCUUGAGUGUUCUCAUUUGCAGGGAGCUCGCACCUGUACGUGUUUGUUUUUUGGUAGGCGCGGAAAAGAUUCAGAGAGCAAAGCCACAAAGUGGCCAGAAACGAUACCAAUCCAUCACAGUUUUCAUGGCUCAUAUAUUUUUACUGUGCUAUAAAUAGUUACUCCGAGCCACCCAUGGAAACACACAUAAAACACGUGCCUCCUGUGCUGUAGUGGAUGAUGCUGUUUGUCUUCAUCUUUCCUGAGUGAUAUAUGAGUCCUGAGCUCAACGCCUUCUCUUAUGCUGAACAGGACUUGCGUGCAGUCCUGCCUCAACUCGAGCUGUUCUGGAAGCAUGGCUUUGUGUGAACCUGCAAAAUCGAGCUGGGAUUUAAUUUUUAAAUUCCAAGGUGCAAGGAUUUCUACUGCUUAUUGAUCAAAGGCAGUAGAAAUUAAAUAUAUGCAUGCCAGGAUUAAAACAUACAGACACCACACAGCUCCUACUUUCUUUGGACAUAUAUGAUUUGAAGGGUACAUUUUCAAGGCUUUUUUUUUUAAACUUACCUUCCUAAAUCCUCUCUGGGCCCUGAAAUACGUAGAGUUUCAUUUUCAAAGGCACUGAAUAGCAGUCUCCUGACAUCAGACGCUUAGUACUUUCAAAGAUAUAUAGAUAGAUAUUUAGAAAUCCAGUGUCAUUUCCAACAAACUGUGUAUCCAACUCAGAUGUUCAUUAAGCUUUAUUUAAAAAAAAAAGAUGAGAAUACCAAUACAUACUCCCAUCAAGGUCUUUAUUUCUUUGUUUUCACAAGCAUACGAAUGAAAAGUUCCUUUUCCCACUUGUGGUGAUGAUUUUUAUUGACGUUUCACCUAGGAAAUGUUCUCCCCAAAAUGUAGCUUGUGUUUAGAGUCAAACAGCAGGCUUUGGCAAAUUUCUUUUGACAAGGAUUUUCGUUUUUGGCAUCCAGCCAUUGAAAAUAACACAGUCCUCUCAAAGCUGCAUUGUUCCUAGAGAGCAAAGCUAUCUUGCAAGAUCAUGGAAAAUGAGGGGGUUGUAGAGGCAGCUUGAUUAAAGGCCUCCUGAAUUUUGGAUAAGACAGUGAAAUAUUUUUGAAAUUAAAAAGUAGCACUCGUGCUGAUGAGAUUUGUUUGUAUAGGCUCUUGCUGGCUGUGCAUGUCUUCAUAGUCAUAUACCUCAUGCUAGGGGUAGACAGAUAGGUCUGUAUCACAUCAGAAGAACAAUAGUGCACUGUCAAAUUUGCUUCAACAUGUCCAAUUUAUGACAUUAUUUAUUAAAACCAGGAAUUUUCUCUUAACAGUUAUGGUACUUUGAGGAGGAAAAGUUAUCUUAAAAAUAACUUGGACCUAAUCCAUAAAAAGAUUUUCAUAGUUUGGCAUCAGCAUCCUGAGCUGAUUAGGGUUAGCAGGACAGUCAUGUGGUCUCUGAGAAAGUAUGAUGAUGUGUUCCUUGUGAAUAGCUGCUGUCUCCUCUUGCUUGGAACUCUUAACAAUGUUCCUCAGCUUCUCCAUAUAAGAAUGAAUACAGUAAUCCAGUCUGGAGGUCCUAAGGUGGCAAUUAUGCCUUGACAACAGACUUCUAGACUGUGAGGCAUGGCUUCAUUACAGUGAAUAACUUAAAACAUGCUGCCAGUUUUCUGAGGUUCAUCCAGUCUGAGCUGAGCUGGACUGGAGAUCUUAAAUCAAAGCAGCUGUUUGCUCUGAGCAGUGCAAGCAACUGGGUCUUAAUGGUGGCAGCUAGUGUGGUAAUGAAAAUGUGACACCUACUGCUCGAUGUAGCAGAGGUUCAGAUGCCACAAAAGGCUGCUUUCAGAUGAGAUAGGGGAUUAGGAUUAGUGUAAGGAGUACAGUGCAGAUGGUUGAAGAAAAUUAGCUGCUCUGUGCUUCAGGUCAACGGCAAAGGUUUCAGAUUAAUUUGUGCUGCUUUUGUUGCUUUUUUUAUCAUGCACAUUUGCAAAGAUUACUUUGGAUGUGUGGAUACCAAUAUAGAAAAUUGUAGCUGAUACACACAAGGCAUUUAGCUUGCACAUAUAUCCUAGAUGAGGAGGAUAUUUAAGCCAUUAAAGAGAUGAAAACUUAAUGGUAGAAAUAAGCCCAUAUAGAUAGGGCAUUCUUGUAUUUGGUCUUCUGCCAGAUGUAGCCCUUGGAGUUAGUGUUUUGCUGUAACAUUUGCAAUGUGGCCAGUGAGACACUUGGUCAGAGCUGGAAGUUGUUUGAAUCAGAAUGCAGUAUUGUCUGUUGAGACUUGCAAUCUUGAGGGACUUCAGCUUCAUUGUGCGGAAGACGAUGGAUGGCUUUAGUGUGGGAUGUCCAGUCUUGCCGAGCCACAUGCAAGUGGAAAGUGUUUGAGCAAAGAAAAGUUUUGGCCAAAACCUUGCUGCUUCACCCAUAAAGAAUUUAAGAGAGAGGAAUGUGUGCUCCAAUCUGAAGAUAAAAAAAUCGUUCUAGCUGCCAGCAUUAUGUGCAUAGCAGGCCUUUACUACUCAAGGUUAGCUUUGGAUUUACAUGGCAGUGAAAAAGGUCAGCCUCUUGCAAAGUAACCGAAAACAAGAUGAAACGUUUCUCAAACAGACAACCCUCUUUCUCUAAAGUGUGAUCUAUCAGUCAUUUCUCAGCUUCUCUCUUUGUUGUCAUGAGAUGACAGCAAAUUAAUUGGAGGCCUGUACAUCAAACAUUUAAGUACCUGUGUGUAUUCUGCCAAAAAAAAAAGAAAAGAAAAAAAAAGGCUUGGAAAUAAUUCUUGUGAGCACUUUUCUUCAACACUUCUGUCUUUAUAAAGUCAAGAACAAGAAUUAAACUUGGUUUUAGAAACAAGCAUAUUGGCAGCAGAGAAGACUGGCUGCAAGAAAUUCAGAACCCCAGGCUGUCCAUACUCAUCUCUUUGUUGACCAAGUUUCCGUAGCGAUCCCUUACUGUCAAUGGGAAGAAAGUCCCUCUGGAACUGAUUCACUCAGCAGUGUAGCGGAGUGUCCAGACUAAGUCAAAAUGCUGUACUGCUUGCAUUUCUGACAAGGCAAUGGCUGAUUUUGUGAUUGUAUUUUGGUGUAGCUCUUGCAGCAGCAAAUGGGGAUCUUGGCUGCCUGCUGUAGAGUUGAUCUGCGGAGCCCCAUAAAAGAUCAGGGUCAUAGUUUCACAGCAAAGUGAGCCUUCAAAAUCCCAUUCUUUAUUGCUUUAACUGAUUAGAAGUCCAGCACCUUUUGUAUAGCUUUUUGUAAAUCCAGUUCUGUAAAGAUAAGUAUCUAGGUCAGAACCUAGAGCUGGUGUCAGUGUUUUUUUUUACGCUGUGGUAUGUUUGGAAAGUCUUUGAUAUAGUUGGAUUGCCUUGAGGAAUCCAGUUGAUUUCUGAAGUGAGUGCUUCAGAAAUUUAACCUGUCAAACUUGACUUUCAGCAGUUUAACAGAGGCUUGUCAGCUGGUGCCUUACUCUUCAUUUUAGAUCGAUGUGAAUAUUUUGAGAAAAAAGCAAAGAAAAAAUCCUAUGUUCUCCUUAUCCUAUUCACAAGCCUGUUGCAUCUUCAGUGUGGUGGCUUUGCCUGAGGUUAUGCAUAAAGAAAACUCAAAAUGCACGCUGGUUAGGACAGAAAUCCUAUUCCCCUAAGAGGGGCAUCUUGAGCAAGAGGACUCUUUGGAAGCAUAGGUACUUUGUUGGUGACAAUACACUUUCUUUUCUAGGCACAAAGUGAUACUUGUUGCUCUGGAGAUCAGUUUAAUAAGUCAGGUGUCUGCAUGACUCUUCAAAAGAUACAUCAUGCUGAUGUUGAAACACACGCGUUUGAGUUCUCAUUUAAAUGUUUUUUCUCCAACUUCAAAAAAAAAAAAAAAAGAAAAGAAAGAAAAAAAAAAGAAAAAAAGAAAG